GUGUCAGCAGCCGCGGUAAUACGGAGGGUGCAAGCGUUAUCCGGAUUCACUGGGUUUAAAGGGUGCGUAGGUGGACAGGUAAGUCAGUGGUGAAAUCCCCGAGCUUAACUCGGGAACUGCCGUUGAUACUAUCUGUCUUGAAUAUCGCGGAGGUAAGCGGAAUAUGUCAUGUAGCGGUGAAAUGCUUAGAUAUGACAUAGAACACCGAUUGCGAAGGCAGCUUACUACACGAUCAUUGACACUGAGGCACGAAAGCGUGGGGAGCAAACAGGAUUAGAUACCCUAGUAGUCC
rnacentral:rRNA from 1 species